rnacentral:rRNA from 1 species
GCCAUGCAUGUCUAAGUAUAAGCACUUGUACUGUGAAACUGCGAAUGGCUCAUUAAAUCAGUUAUCGUUUAUUUGAUUGUACUUGAUACUACUUGGAUAACCGUGGUAAUUCUAGAGCUAAUACAUGCGAAAAGUCCCGACUUCUGGAAGGGAUGUAUUUAUUAGAUUCAAAACCAAUGCGGGUUCCGCCCGGUCCUUUGGUGAUUCAUAAUAACUGAUCGAAUCGCACGGCCUUGCGCUGGCGAUGUUUCAUUCAAAUUUCUGCCCUAUCAACUGUCGAUGGUAAGGUAUUGGCUUACCAUGGUUACAACGGGUGACGGAGAAUUAGGGUUCGAUUCCGGAGAGGGAGCCUGAGAAACGGCUACCACAUCCAAGGAAGGCAGCAGGCGCGCAAAUUACCCAAUCCUGACUCAGGGAGGUAGUGACAAGAAAUAACAAUACAGGGCUUUUCUAAGUCUUGUAAUUGGAAUGAGUACAACUUAAAUCCUUGAAC